CUGGGGCCAAUCUAGGUUAGUUCCGGAACUUCUUGUCAUUUUCCUGUCCCUUCUUCUUCGUAUUCUGUUCGUUUAGCUUCCUCGAGGGCUUGUUUGCUAUUUUUUCCGAUUUUUUCGAGAUUUUGUGGCUUCCAUUUGAUCCAAAAUGUCUUUUGAUAUCUCCUCUUCUAGCAGUUCUAGGAGUUCGUCAGCCCCAGUUCCCCAAAGUUCUUGUACCGUAGACGAACCCGUAACUAGGACCGAAGCUUGUCUGGCCUUUGCGCCGG
rnacentral:lncRNA from 1 species